UCGCAAGAAUGAAACUCAAAGGAAUUGACGGGGGCCCGCACAAGCGGAGGAACAUGUGGUUUAAUUCGAUGAUACGCGAGGAACCUUACCCGGGCUUGAAAGUUAGUGACGGAUCUUGAAAGAGGUCUUCCCUUCGGGGCACGAAACUAGGUGCUGCAUGGUUGUCGUCAGCUCGUGCCGUGAGGUGUCGGGUUAAGUCCCAUAACGAGCGCAACCCCUACCGUUAGUUGCCAGCAGGUCAAGCUGGGCACUCUGACGGGACUGCCGGUGUAAGCCGAGAGGAAGGUGGGGAUGACGUCAAAUCAGCACGGCCCUUACGUCCGGGGCUACACACGUGUUACAAUGGCAGGUACAGAGGGCAGCUACCCAGCGAUGGGAUGCGAAUCUCGAAAGCCUGUCUCAGUUCGGAUUGGAGGCUGAAACCCGCCUCCAUGAAGUUGGAUUCGCUAGUAAUCGCGCAUCAGCCAUGGCGCGGUGAAUACGUUCCCGG
rnacentral:rRNA from 1 species